rnacentral:rRNA from 1 species
GACAGAGGGUGCAAACGUUGUUCGGAAUUACUGGGCGUAAAGCGAGUGUAGGCGGUUCGAUAAGUCGGAUGUGAAAGCCCCGGGCUCAACCCGGGAAGUGCACUCGAUACUGUCGAGCUAGAGUAUCGGAGAGGUUGGUGGAACAGCUAGUGUAGAGGUGAAAUUCGUAGAUAUUAGCUAGAACACCAGUGGCGAAGGCGGCCAACUGGUCCGGUACUGGACGCUGAGGUGCGAAAGCGUGGGGAGCAAACAGGG